UCCAUUUGGCGUGGCCAUCAUUUCAUGGAGUGUUGUUUGUUAAUGAUUUUUACGACCACAUGCAUGAUUAAUGUUGUUGUAUACAUGUUUGUCGUCUAUUCAAAAAAGAGACUGGUCUAUUAGUCAUAUUUGCAACAUAUUUUUUUUCUCCAUACAAAAUUUGCUUCUAUUGAGUUCUAAAUUACACCACUUAAUGGUUGACCGAUUAAUCAUUGGGAAACAGUUCUUAUCUAUAGUCUGGUAACAAGGCAACGCCAGACCACACCACAACUGUAGAUUUCAGUUUGAUCCCACGGUAGAGACAUCAGACUUUAGCCCUUGUGUUUAUAAUAUAAUAAAUGUUAAUUCCUCUCCGCUGGUACUAACCACCCGUAUGUCACGCAUGCAUGAUUGCAUAUCCCUUGUAUUUCUCAUCUGAUCCGUCUUUCCCGUUCCCCACCCUCGUUUCUUCCGCAUGCACCUCCAUCUGAGCUCGCCAUCAACAUUGUCGCGUGUAUUCAACCUGCUGCACACCAUGAUUCCUUCACACCUCGUUGCUGGCCACACUAUCCAUCGCACGACCCAGAUCCAAAUCGAAACCCAUGCAUGACCUGC
rnacentral:lncRNA from 1 species